ACGGGGCUAAACCAUGCACCGAAGCUGCGGCAGCGAACGUAUCACUUAAAGCGAUUCAGCGGGUUACGAUUGACGGAGCGAAGCGACGUCAAAGCGUAUACAAAGUCGAGUCGGUUUAAGGAUACGUUCGUUGGGUAGGGGAGCGUUCUGUAAGCCUGCGAAGGUGGCCUGUGAGGGUUGCUGGAGGUAUCAGAAGUGCGAAUGCUGACAUAAGUAACGAUAAAGCGGGUGAAAAGCCCGCUCGCCGGAAGACCAAGGGUUCCUGUCCAACGUUAAUCGGGGCAGGGUGAGUCGACCCCUAAGGCGAGGCCGAAAGGCGUAGUCGAUGGGAAACGGGUUAAUAUUCCCGUACUUGGUGUUACUGCGAAGGGGGGACGGAGAAGGCUAUGUUGGCCGGGCGACGGUUGUCCCGGUUUAAGCGUGUAGGCUGGUUUUCCAGGCAAAUCCGGAAAAUCAAGGCUGAGGCGUGACGACGAGGCACUACGGUGCUGAAGCAACAAAUGCCCUGCUUCCAGGAAAAGCCUCUAAGCAUCAGGUAACACGAAAUCGUACCCCAAACCGACACAGGUGGUCAGGUAGAGAAUACCAAGGCGCUUGAGAGAACUCGGGUGAAGGAACUAGGCAAAAUGGUGCCGUAACUUCGGGAGAAGGCACGCUGACACGUAGGUGAAGUGAUUUACUCAUGGAGCUGAAGUCAGUCGAAGAUACCAGCUGGCUGCAACUGUUUAUUAAAAACACAGCACUGUGCAAACACGAAAGUGGACGUAUACGGUGUGACGCCUGCCCGGUGCCGGAAGGUUAAUUGAUGGGGUCAGCGCAAGCGAAGCUCCUGAUCGAAGCCCCGGUAAACGGCGGCCGUAACUAUAACGGUCCUAAGGUAGCGAAAUUCCUUGUCGGGUAAGUUCCGACCUGCACGAAUGGCGUAAUGAUGGCCAGGCUGUCUCCACCCGAGACUCAGUGAAAUUGAACUCGCUGUGAAGAUGCAGUGUACCCGCGGCAAGACGGAAAGACCCCGUGAACCUUUACUAUAGCUUGACACUGAACAUUGAGCCUUGAUGUGUAG
rnacentral:rRNA from 1 species